rnacentral:rRNA from 1 species
CCAGACUCCUACGGGAGGCAGCAGUGAGGAAUAUUGGUCAAUGGCCGAGAGGCUGAACCAGCCAAGUCGCGUGAGGGAAGACGGCCCUACGGGUUGUAAACCUCUUUUGUCGGGGAGCAAAGCGAACCACGUGUGGUUCACUGAGAGUACCCGAAGAAAAAGCAUCGGCUAACUCCGUGCCAGCAGCCGCGGUAAUACGGAGGAUGCGAGUGUUAUCCGGAUUUAUUGGGUUUAAAGGGUGCGCAGGCGGUGUUGUUAGACCGGGGACAAAGCCCGGGGCCCACCCCCCGGCCCGCCGUUGAAACUGGCAGUCUCGAGUUGGAGAGAAGUAUGCGGAAUGCGCGGUGUAGCGGUGAAAUGCAUAGAUAUCGCGCAGAACUCCGAUUGCGAAGGCAGCAUACCGGCGCGCAACUGACGCUCAUGCACGAAAGCGUGGGUAUCGAACAGGAUUAGAUACCCCAGUAC